AUUGAACGCUGGCGGCAUGCUUUACACAUGCAAGUCGAACGGUAACAGGCCGCAAGGUGCUGACGAGUGGCGAACGGGUGAGUAAUGCAUCGGAACGUACCCAGUCGUGGGGGAUAACGCAGCGAAAGCUGUGCUAAUACCGCAUACGAUCUAUGGAUGAAAGCGGGGGACCGUAAGGCCUCGCGCGAUUGGAGCGGCCGAUGUCAGGUUAGCUAGUUGGUGGGGUAAAGGCCCACCAAGGCGACGAUCUGUAGCUGGUCUGAGAGGACGACCAGCCACACUGGGACUGAGACACGGCCCAGACUCCUACGGGAGGCAGCAGUGGGGAAUUUUGGACAAUGGGCGAAAGCCUGAUCCAGCAAUGCCGCGUGCAGGAAGAAGGCCUUCGGGUUGUAAACUGCUUUUGUACGGAGCGAAAAGGUCCUUUCUAAUACAAGGGGCUCAUGACGGUACCGUAAGAAUAAGCACCGGCUAACUACGUGCCAGCCGCCGCGGUAAAAC
rnacentral:rRNA from 1 species